AUGUUAGAAUGUUCUAAAUGAAUAGAUCGUAGCGGGGAUAAGUGGCAAUAGAACACAGCCAGGAACUCUUCUGCGCGAGUCAGCGUGACGUGCGUGCGCGGGCUCGUCAUUUGAAUUAAAUAACGGACACAAGCAACGGGCGGAACGGUAAUCAAAGUUUCGCUGGAAUCUCCAAUUGAAAACAUCAUCGUGUGCGCUUAGACUUCUGUUCCAGUUCUGACUACACCACACUCUGCUUAUGUUGAUCACUGACUACUAUGUUCUCUGAAG
rnacentral:lncRNA from 1 species